rnacentral:rRNA from 1 species
GACAGAGGAUGCAAACGUUGUUCGGAAUCACUGGGCAUAAAGCGCACGUAGGCGGUCUGUUAAGUCAGGUGUGAAAGCCCCCGGCUCAACCGGGGAAUUGCAUUUGAUACUGGCAGGCUAGAGAACGGUAGGGGUGAGUGGAACUCCAGGUGGAGCGGUGAAAUGCGUAGAUAUCUGGAGGAACACCGGUGGCGAAAGCGGCUCACUGGACCGUCACUGACGCUGAGGUGCGAAAGCUAGGGUAGCAAACGGG